UUUCUCCCCGCCGCAUUCCCGGUGUCGACUUACUAGCUGCAAGCCUCUGCCUGCCUUCCUGCGCGCCGUUCCCCGCUAGUCGCUGCUGCUGGCGCGCACUCGCCGGGUUUUUCCUCCCACGGCCUCGAGAUGGUGGUGAAUGUGGCACGGAGGAGCCGGGCCUUCCAACCCGGUGGGCCCGAGCUCCGAAAGGCCCCCUCGGCAGUGAGAGGGGCGGGAGCCCGCGGGGGCCGCGCCCUUCUCUCGCUUCGGACUGCGCAACGCUGCGCUCUGGGCUGACAGGCGGAUAAAACGGUCCCAUCAAGACUGAGAAAAAGCACACCAGCUAUUGGCACAGCGUGGGCAGUGGGGCCUACAGGAUGACUGACUUAGUCUACAGAGAUCCCGGCGUACUUAAGCAGGUAGUAAUGAUGGACAGGUGAGGCUUUAGGCGGCCGCCCUGGGAUCUGAAUUGCCCCUUGGCCCUUAUCGAAGCUGCAGCUGCUUCCGCAUAGCUGCUGUGGUCAAAAAGGAGCCCAGAGUGACAGUUUUCCUUGACGGUCGCCGUUCUGUUUGUUGUAACUGAUCUGCAACAUUUUGGGAAAAUACAGUUCCAUUGUACCUGCCACCUUUCAGCUGUAGCCAGAGACCUUUAUCAAAAUGGGCUUGUUUCCACAGAACAGCAGAACGGUUGGGGGUUUGCAUGUACAGUUAACCAGCAUAAGACUCGUACUGGGAAAAUCCAGCUGGGAUGUGACACAGCUUAACUGAUAGCUUAAGGCAUCAGUAUUGGGACCAAAGGCUGGUCAGAUUUGUAUCAUUCUGAGGACCAAAUGAUGGGAACAAUAAAAUUGUUCAUGACAGUUGUUCUCAUUUUGCUGUCCAGAUGAAGACUCUUAAGAUGACAGAAGGUGAUUUUUCUGGUGAUCGAGGACUUCCGGGGUAAUGACAGUGAUGAAAUGCAGGGGACCUGGUUGCCCCCAAGUUUCCUGGCAGUGUGUGAUACUGAGGAGGUGAGCUUGUUUCUGGAGCUGUGCUUUAAGGUAAAGUUGAUCAGCUUAAUCCUCCUGAUCCCUUUCCCAUCGGAUCUGAACACUGGUCUUGGUGGUCG
rnacentral:lncRNA from 1 species